AGUGGCGCGAUCUCGGUUCACUGCAAGCUCCGCCUCCCGGGUUCACACCAUUCUCCUGCCUCAGCCUCCUGAGUAGCUUGGACUACAGGCGCCCGCCACCACACCCUGCUAAUUUUUUGUAUUUUUAGUAGAGAUGGGGUUUCACUGUGUUAGCCGGGAUGGUCUCGAUCUCUUGACCUCGAGUACUUUCCCUUUUGUUACUACUAUGCUACUACUGCUGUGCUUCCUUGCUGACGGUUCCAGUUCCUAUCGCUGUGUAACAAACUACCUCAUCUUUUAUAUAGAUUCAUCAAUGCUUCCUUUUCACAUUUGUCUUCACUUGCAUCUCUCUAUAUUAAGAUACAUAUAUUUCCAUUUUUCUAUCUAUUGAUCUAUCUAUCUAUCUAUGAAAAUACUUUCUUACACAAACUUUAUUCAGGCCUUCAACGAAUUAGAUGAGGUCUACCUAACAUUGAGGGUGGUGAUCUUCUUUACAGCCUACUAAUUCAAAUGUUAAUCUCGUCCAGAAACACCAUCACAGACAUAUCCAGAAGUAAUAUUUAACAAAAUAUCUGGGCAUCCCAUGGCCUGGUCAAAUUGACACAUAAAAUUAACUAUCACAGCUUCCUAAUUAACUCUCACAGCCUCCUUUUAUUUAGUUGUUUUGCCUGUGUUUGUAAUUUUGUUUAAUUUAGCAAUUUUAAUAAUGUUAUUACAUUAUUAAAUAGACAUCUGUGAAGUUCCUUCCCAAGUUCAGCUAGUCUCUUCACAAGAAGCCAUAUAUAAACAUGGUUGGUCCUCCCCUUCAAUCCAUUCUCACCUUCUCUCUUCUGAGGUCAUUAUCAUCCUGAAUUCAUUUUUAUUUAGUUUUAUUAAAUAGAGGUGGAGUUUAGUAUUACAAGAUAGGUUUUAAAAAUUGUGGUUUGUAGCUUCAUAAAAAAGGCAGCUGGGCGCGGUGGCUCAUGCCUGUAAUCCCAGCACUUUGGGAGGCCGAGGCAGGUGGAUCACGAGGUCAAGAGAUCAAGACCACCCGGGCCAACAUGGUGAAACCCCGUCUCUACUAAAAAUACAGCAAUUAGCUAGGCAUGGUGAUGCACACCUGUAGUCCCAGCUAUUCGAGAGGCUGAGGCAGG
rnacentral:lncRNA from 1 species